CCUACGGGAGGCAGCAGUGGGGAAUAUUGCACAAUGGGGGAAACCCUGAUGCAGCGACGCCGCGUGAGCGAUGAAGUAUUUCGGUAUGUAAAGCUCUAUCAGCAGGGAAGAAAAUGACGGUACCUGACUAAGAAGCGCCGGCUAACUACGUGCCAGCAGCCGCGGUAAUACGUAGGGGGCAAGCGUUAUCCGGAUUUACUGGGUGGAAAGGGAGCGUAGACGGUCCUGCAAGCCAGAUGUGAAAGCCCGGGGCUCAACCCCGGGACUGCAUUUGGAACUGUAAGGCUAGAGUGUCGGAGAGGCAGGCGGAAUUCCUAGUGUAGCGGUGAAAUGCGUAGAUAUUAGGAGGAACACCAGUGGCGAAGGCGGCCUGCUGGACGAUGACUGACGUUGAGGCUCGAAAGCGUGGGGAGCAAACAGGAUUAGAUACCACUGUAGUC
rnacentral:rRNA from 1 species